rnacentral:rRNA from 1 species
ACGGUGCUUUCGGGCACAGUGGCGGACGGGUGAGUAACGCGUGAGAAUCUGGCUUUAGGUCUGGGACAACCACUGGAAACGGUGGCUAAUACCGGAUGUGCCGAAAGGUGAAAGGUUAACUGCCUGAAGAUGAGCUCGCGUCUGAUUAGCUAGUAGGUGUGGUAAAGGCGCACCUAGGCGACGAUCAGUAGCUGGUCUGAGAGGACGAUCAGCCACACUGGGACUGAGACACGGCCCAGACUCCUACGGGAGGCAGCAGUGGGGAAUUUUCCGCAAUGGGCGAAAGCCUGACGGAGCAAUACCGCGUGAGGGAGGAAGGCUCUUGGGUCGUAAACCUCUUUUCUCAGGGAAGAACACAAUGACGGUACCUGAGGAAUAAGCAUCGGCUAACUCCGUGCCAGCAGCCGCGGUAAUACGGAGGAUGCAAGCGUUAUCCGGAAUGAUUGGGCGUAAAGCGUCCACAGGUGGCUGUGUAAGUCUGCUGUUAAAGAGUCUAGCUCAACUAGAUAAGAGCAGUGGAAACUACACGGCUAGAGUACGUUCGGGGCAGAGGGAAUUCCUGGUGUAGCGGUGA